CGUUUGUAAACAACCAUUGAUUCCUCAUCGGAACCACGAAUUUAGCUCCCUGCUUUUGUUGUUCCCUGUUACUGAAACUUUAUUUUGCGGCAGCCUGCUUAAGGUAGAUGAAGCUGGCUGUUUGCCAGCAAGGGCUGUUGAUCCUGGGCAGCUUUAUAACAAACAAGAAAUACCUAGACAGACAUUAGAAUCAACAUGAGUUACAACCGGGGCCGAGGAUUUGGGUUUGGUGGUUUUUCAAUAGCUAAGAAGCAGGAUAUUACGCCUCCACCUCCCAAUGCCACACUCAGCAAACAUGGUUAUCACACCAUGACUGCCAUCAGCCAGAAUGCAAUAUCAGGAGGUUGUGGAUACGGUCAACCACGUAAGCGACCGAGAGAUGAGGAUGAGUAUUUUGAUGAUGAAGAUGAAAGUUUAGAUGGUGCUU